UGAUCCUCCUGCCUCAGCCUCCUAAGAAGAUGAGAAAACUGAGAUCCAGAAAUUCAAGAUCAAUAACCAAUAAUUGAAAAGGAAGUAAGACAGCCUGCCUUUGGAAUAUUGUGCCACUUUACCAAUAAUUUACUCUAAUUAAAAUGAAACAAAAAUGUGUGCAUGUUAUUGGAUGUAUGGAAAGAUGCAUCAAACUAAAUGACCUCAAGGGAGAGGUGUGGCUUCCGUGAGGAAGAUGACAAGACUCCUUCUUGGUACUCAUGUAAUAAGUUUGUGAUAAAAGAUAUUAUUACUAAACAAAGAUUAACAUGUAUAACUUGUCUCCUUUAAACAUAAUCUCAGAAUAUUAGGCAAAAAUAUUAGAGAGUAGAAAGUCUCUCCUCUUCGUUAAGUUCUCUAAAACAUUUUUACUCUUUAACAGGUUCAACUCUACCAACUGUCUAUAGCAUUUCACAGUGUUGUGGAUGAUUAUGCUGUCUAGGGAACUGAGUAGUUACUGCACUUUCAAAAACAUCAUCUCACAGUCCUGAGGUCCUGCAAAGUUUGUGUCUUUCCAUUCUUACAUAUAACUUACUUAACAGUUACUGCUAUCAAGAAAGUCUUGCCUUCUCACACUUCUUCCAUUAUUUUUAUGCCCUAUUUCAGUGAUCUAUCCACACAUCCAUCUUCAAGCUUCCCAAAGGCAGGAAUCACCUAUUGUUCGUCUGUAAACUCCAAUGAGAAACAUACAGUCUGGUGUAUGGGAGGUCAUCAAAACAAGUGUGGAGGUAUAAGCUAAGACUGACAACUGCCUCCCAAGUUUCUAUUCAAAAGUAAUCAUUUUGGAUGUAAAUCUCAUCAGGAAUGUGUUUAAACUCAGGAACUGCUGAAUUGUACUGUAACUUGGCUCAUCCCAAAUAGUGCAGUUGUCUUCACAAUGGAGAGACUGUCACAGCCUAAAAAGACACGUGACUCUGAGCAUCAGUUUACUGGCUGCCCACUCAAUGAUUCAGACUCCUCCAUUCUUUGUGUGGAAGAGAACUGGCCUUCCGGGAGCCUGAGGCCAAGUGAGAGAACCUUCUGAAAGCCGUCACUGCAUGGGGAGCCUGGACUUACCC
rnacentral:lncRNA from 1 species